rnacentral:rRNA from 1 species
GAUCCCCUACGGGGCGCAGCAGUGGGGGAUAUUGCACAAUGGGGGGAACCCUGAUGCAGCGACGCCGCGUGGGUGAAGAAGCGCCUCGGCGCGUAAAGCCCUGUCAGCAGGGAAGAAAAUGACGGUACCUGAAGAAGAAGCCCCGGCUAACUACGUGCCAGCAGCCGCGGUAAUACGUAGGGGGCAAGCGUUAUCCGGAUUUACUGGGUGUAAAGGGCGUGCAGCCGGAGAGACAAGUCAGAUGUGAAAUCCACGGGCUCAACCCGUGAACUGCAUUUGCAACUGUUUCCCUUGUGUG